AUAGGAUAGAUAGUCAGGUAUAGGAUAGAUAGUCAGGUAUAUGAUAGAUAGUCAGGUAUAUGAUAGAUAGUCAGGUAUAGGAUAGAUAGUCAGGUAUAGGAUAGAUAGUCAGGUAUAGGAUAGAUAGUCAGGUAUAUGAUAGAUAGUCAGGUAUAGGAUAGAUAGUCAGGUAUAGGAUAGAUAGUCAGGUAUAGGAUAGAUAGUCAGGUAUAGGAUAGAUAGUCAGGUAUAGGAUAGAUAGUCAGGUAUAUGAUAGAUAGUCAGGUAUAGGAUAGAUAGUCAGGUAUAGGAUAGAUAGUCAGGUAUAGGAUAGAUAGUCAGGUAUAGGAUAGAUAGUCAGGUAUAGGAUAGAUAGUCAGGUAUAGGAUAGAUAGUCAGGUAUAGGAUAGAUAGUCAGGUAUAGGAUAGAUAGUCAGGUAUAGGAUAGAUAGUCAGGUAUAGGAUAGAUA